GACGAACGCUGGCGGCGUGCUUAACACAUGCAAGUCGAGCGAGGCCCCUCCUUCGGGAGGGUGUCCUAGCGGCGAACGGGUGAGUAACACGUGGGCAACCUGCCCUCAGCUCUGGGAUAACUCCGGGAAACCGGGGCUAAUACCGGAUACGACCUCCACGGGCAUCUGCGGAGGUGGAAAGUUUUUCGGCUGAGGAUGGGCCCGCGGCCUAUCAGCUAGUUGGUGGGGUAGUGGCCCACCAAGGCGACGACGGGUAGCCGGCCUGAGAGGGCGACCGGCCACCCUGGGACUGAGACACGGCCCAGACUCCUACGGGAGGCAGCAGUGGGGAAUAUUGCGCAAUGGGCGAAAGCCUGACGCAGCGACGCCGCGUGAGGGACGAAGGCCUUCGGGUUGUAAACCUCUUUCAGCAGGGACGAAGCGAAAGUGACGGUACCUGCAGAAGAAGCACCGGCCAACUACGUG
rnacentral:rRNA from 1 species